UCUGGGAGGAGGGAGGACAUGGAAAAGAGGCCGAGGACGUCCCCGGGGACACCCACGCUGCCCCUGCCUACCUGUGGGUGUUUUUGCAAUGCCGAUGGUGAUGCUAAGGACAACAGCACCACUUCUAGAACGCUUCACGUCUGCAGAGCACUUUACACACAUCCCACCCGAACCUCCCAACGACCCUGCAGAGGGCGGCUGCUGUCAUCACCCCAUUUUAGUCACAGCUAAUAUUUAUGUGGAACCCACUAUGUGCCGAGCACUGUGCCAAGCACUUCACAGAUGUUAUUUCACUUGAUCCUCAGAGGUAGGUGCUAUUAUUAUCUCUAUUUUACAGAGAAGGAAGCGGAAUCAAAUGGAGGCCAAUGACUGGUCCAGGGUCACUGAGAGAACUCAGAUCUUCCUGACAGGUUUGUACUUCACGCCUGCUCUGGGCAAGGGCUUAUGUUCUGCCUGUGGCUCUGGCAUUCUUCUCAUGCGGCUUCAGAUAAGAGAAAACGCAUGAAUGGCUUCCCAUCUGAGGGGGGUAAAAGCAUUUCCAGGCCGUCUCUCCCAUCAGAUGGUGAGCUUUGAGGGCAGAACCUGAGUCUCAUGAAAGCCUGUUGACUGAUCAUUGUGGUAUGAAUGUCACUCCUCCAGCCUACGCAGCGUGGGGAGGAGUGUAAUGAUAACAUAAACCAAAUGGGGGUGCUAAUGGCGGAGGUGGUCAGGGAAGGCUUCUGGGAGGAGGCAGCUUCAGUGCCUGCACAUGCAGAUGACACAGCUAACUAGCAAUGAACGUGGGGGUGGCAUCCAGACUCACCAAACUUGGCAUCGGCUGUAAGUUUCAGGAUUUUCUCAAACUGCAAGAAAAGAGACCCUAUCAUGACCCUGAGUCCCAUCUUCCAUCCCACGCGGGGGGGAACUUCAAUAACUUGCUCACCAAGGGCAGCGGGGUAGCUCAGUGGAUGGAGAGCCAGGCCUAGAGACGGGAGGUCCUGGCUUCAAAUCUGGCCUCAGCCACUUCCCAGCUGUGUGACCCUGGGCAAGUCACUUGACCCCCAUUGCCUAGCCCUGACCGCCUUAGAACUAAUCCUUAUCAUUGAUUCUAAGACACAAGGUAAGAGUUAAAAAAACAAAACAAAACAACAACAAAAACAAUUUGUUCAACCAAAAAAGUAUCCAUAAGAUACUUUUCGCCUAACCUGCACUAUUAAAUCUUUUCUCCAUCACUCCCUUAAGCCUAGGCAAUCAGUACGACAAUAAGCCAGUUUUUCUGAGUCGUAACGUUCGGUCUCCCCAGUGAGAGCCGGACUUGGCCUGCUUCAAUCCUGUUUCUACCAGUCCAUCUUCUGGACUCUUUCCCUUGGGAAGUCCACUCUCUCUCCUUGCGUCCUGGCUUCACUAGGAGGGCUCGAGGCUGGCCCGGAGGAUCCGAAGGGCAUGGAACCGGCACUGACCCCGAUGACCCAGGGAAGGCUUCAGAACCUCCGCUCGCCACCCGCCCACCCAGGAGAACGGACCUCAGGACCCAAGACGGAGGCCAACUCACGUCAAUCCCCUGCCCCAGCAGGUCCUUCAGAACCUGGCUGCAGAUCAGCUUCAGCUUGACGGAAGACUGUAGAGGAAAGAGAGGAGUCAUCCGGCCUUCUGAUAAGAUCACAGGGACCGAGAAUAUGAAGAAUGAAACAGUCCCUGCUCUCCAGGUGUUUGCAUUCUCAUUGGGAGACAACGAGGACACAUAUAAGUAUAUACAGAAUAAAUAUUAAGAAAAAGACUACAAAUAAAUGCCAGGUAGGUAAAUACAAGGUCAUUUGGGUGGGAGGCACUAGUAAUUGGGGGAUCAGGAAAGAGCUGCGAUGAGACAGAAGUGAGGGCUUCUGGGGUGAAGUAAGGAGAGAACGCAUUCGAGGUAUCAGGGAUCCCAGAAUCCUGCCACCCCACCCCACAAUGGGAGAGAGACUAUGACACCCACAUCCUUCCCCUCAAGCUUCCCUCUUCCUCCCCAAACACAGGAGCAAACCAAAAUACUCAACAAUCUUGGCCAACGUGCUGAUCUCUGCUAGGACCCAAUCUGGGCAGUCCAGGUCUCCACAGAACCGGAACCUCUGGAAAAGGGAGAACCACAGAUCUCUUCAGAGGGGAGAAGGGAAGGCUGAAGGCAGUGAUAUGCUACAGGGGAUGGGGCAGGUCACUCCUGACUUCAUGGGGCCAGAAGGCCAGGCACUGGACAAAAAUCAGAGAUGUGAAACUUCAGGAAAUACUCAUUUAGGAGCAAGUAGGGGUAGUGACGAAAAGGGAGACAUGGGAAUUCUUCUCCCUUGUUGGGGGGGGGGGGAGGGCUUAAAUAACAGUAGUGUGGUCCUAGCCUGAGCGAGGGGAUGGGAUCAUUGGCUCACAGAUUUAGGGCCUGGGAAGAACUUUAACCCUAAUAAUAAUGACUGGUGUUUACAUUGUGCUUUAAGGUUUGCAAAGCUCUUAACAUUAUUAUCUACUUUCUAAAAAUGAAGCCUAGAGACGGAAAAGGGACUCCCUUCUUUUCUAGUCUGGAUGACACUGAGAAUCUCUGACCUCUCUCCCUCAGUGCUGGCAUGGUGGGGGCUAGCCUUGAAGCUCCCCUAAGAUGUUCAGAGCUGAGGACCCAUGAGGGUGGCCUGGCCUCUUCCCUCUCUUGAAGAAUAAUUGCAAAUCGUAUUUCCUUCCAGAUCUCCACAAAGAUCCCAUCCCAGAUUUGGAGAACCUCAGGCUUGAAAGGGACCUGAGAGUCAUCUAGUAACUGAGAGAUCAGGCCCCCGAUUGAAGUACAGCCUCAGCUUUUCCAUUCCCCUCCUCUCUGAAGUUAUCUUAAAUUUUUUUUUCUGAUUUUUUUUAACCCUUACUUUAUGCCUUAGAAUCAGUUAUUUGUUCCAGGGCAGAAGCCUAGUAAGGGCUAGGCAAUGGAGGUUAAGUGACUUGCCCAAGGUCACAAAGUUGGAAAGUGUCUGUGGUCACAUUUGAACCCAGGACCUCCCAUCUCCAGGCUUGGCUCUCCAUCCACUGAAACAUCUAGCUGCCCCCUUUCUAAUUUCUAAGAGGGCUCUCCCAGAGGAUACAAAAUGACCGGAGUUAACCCUGGGCUGGUUCUGCCCGGGAGAGGGAGAGCGGAGAUGCAAGAGAACUUCCCCGUUUGACUAGACCGCAGAAUGCAGGAAAAGAACUAAUUGAUUGGAAAGAUGUUACCAAUGACUUGGUCUGGAAAAGGCAAAUCUGCAAGAGGAACUGUUCUGAGGACCAGCAUGAUUCCAGAAAACCUAAGGAAGAGAAGACUGUAAUAGAAGAAAAGCUUAGAAAUCAGACAACUGCAUCAUGAGACCUUGGACAUAACAGACUGGAGAUUGGGUCACCUAUCCCUUUCAUGUCACUCCCAUGCACCAUUAUUCUGUUUGUAAGAUCCUUAUUGUCAGUGUGUCCAUCAAUCACUUUUAACAUCGUGUUAAGAGAUCCCCAAGCACAAUAGUUAGACCCUCCAAGUAAUGAUUAAUACCUUCAGGUUCUUAUAAACCUUGGUGAGUCAGUCCUGAAAUUUGUAAGUAUCAUAUUUGGGGUGAUUCAUUGGGGAAACCAUUCUUCUGUUUCCCCAAGAAUCAGAGAGGGGAUUGUGAGAAUUUUUUAAAUAUAUUAUAUUAAUCCUAUGUCACGAUCCUGGAUUAGGGGGGCUCCAACCAGUCUGUUGACUUUUAUAUUUCCUUUGUUCUUAAGAACUCCUAGGAAUUCCUCCUCUACUCCCAUAAAACCUGGUUAAUCAAUAAAGGCUCUUCCUGCCUGUGCACUCUCAUUACCUGUUGGGGUGAGGAGGAGUUCAGAGUCUUAAUGAACACCCUUUUCUUUAACUGCUCACCAAUCAGAGAUGUCUUGGGAUGUCCUGGGAGAGUCUGAAAAAUGAGCCCAAACUGUAUUUAUAGAUCUGCCUGAAAGAUUUUCAAGGUCUUUGGUCAUCAAGGAGAUCAUUGACUUAUUCAUUUAUUGGUUAUAGGUUAGCCUAAUCAAUAAAUUAAUUUUUUAUGAAACACUGUAAUCAUAACAGGAGAGAUCUGAGGAAUGACCAGUUAGGAAUGCUAUUGUAAUAGUCUAAGCAAUAGUCUUCUUUAAGGCUACUGUGAAUGGAAUUUUUCUUAAGAGAAUUUGCCCAGCUUUACAGGAAACUGGUUUUGCAGGUAGGAGCUCAGUGUUACCCAUGAUAACUUGUACAUUGGAACAGUCAUGGAACAACCAUGAAAUAUAUGCUCGGAAGGGUAGGGAGCCAGCCAGAUUGCCAAGCAAAGGAUAAAAUGUCUGGGCAUAGUGCUGAUACCUAGGGAAGGCUAAAAGAUGCAGAAGAAGGUCACUAGCACAAUGGAGAAUUCUUGAUGGAAGGAUAUGGACCAUGAGAGAAGAGGCAUGACUUAGUGGCCUUAGAGUCAGGAAGCUCUCAGUUGAAGUCUUGCUUUGGAUUCAGAGAGUUGGGUAACAAAUCAUUCAACCUCUCAACUCUCUAAGAUUAUAAAUUACCAGUAAAGGUGCGGCUAGGUGGUGGAGUGAAUAGAGGGCUGGACCCAGAGUCAGGAAGCCCUGAGAUCAAAUAAAUCCUCAGCUGCAUUCACUAACCUCUGUUAGUUGCUUCAUCUGCCUCAGUUGCUUCAUCUAUAAAUUGUAGAUAUGAUAGCACCUCUCUCCUAGUCUUGUUGUGAGAAUAAAAUGAGCUGAUAUUUGUAAAGCACUAGAGGAGUGCUAGCUAUGUUAUUGUUGUAAUCUACACUGAAUUUACACACCCAUAAAAACAUUUCCAUGGACCAAAACCAAAACCAUAGAAAUUUGGGGGAGUUUACUUUUUUUUUUUAAUAAACCCUUUUCUUCCAUCUUGGAGUCAAUACUGUGUAUUGGCUCCAAGGCAGAGGAGUGGUAAGGGCUAGGCAAUGGGGGUUAAGUGACUUGCCCAGGGUCACACAGCUGGGACGUGUCUGAGGCCAUAUUAGAACCCAGGACCUCCCAUCUUUAGGCUGGCUCUUAAUCCACCAUGUGUUCAAAGAGGCAAUACCAUUUUACAUUGCCAAGUGGAAGAGAGGACAUGUGGCUGCAUUCUCCUCCCUGGCUACCAUGUGUCCAUCAACACCUGGUGCCUUUGGUGGUGUGCAUGCGUAUCUUCUUUCCUGAUCUGGGUAUUCCAAGAAGGGAAUGCCCCUAUGACUUGAUGAGUUAAGAAGAUCCAGAAUGUGCCCUCCUUAUUGGGGGAAUAUUUUGUACCAACUCUUGGAACUAUAUCUUCUUAGUAGUCCUUUAGUAGUCGGCUUAAAGAUCUUUCCUAAAAGCGAAUGGAGUUUGGGACAGCUAGGUGGCUCAAGGGAUUGAGAGCCAAGCCUAAAAAUGACAGGUCCUGGGUUCCAAUCUGGCUUCAGACAUGCCCUGUGUGAUUAAUGAUGGCUUCAACUCUGAAGAUGAGAAAUAUGCUUAGUUGCUUUGAACAUUGAAAAUAGCUUAAACUUAUAAGCAUUAAAACAUUUAUACCUUUUACUUUCAAAUCCUCAACUUAAAGUAGAUUACAACUUUCUUAAUUCUUAACAUUCCUACUUGCUUCACAAUCCAAAUAAACUUCACUCUGAUAGAUAUUCCAUCCUAAAUUGACAAAUUCAGAAGUUAUUCCUUUUUAAUGCUA